AAGGGGAUGGCUCAGUGGUUAAGAGCACUUGCUGUAAAAGCAGAAGGACCUGAGUUCAAAUCCUCAGCACCCAUA
rnacentral:tRNA from 1 species